GUAGCUGCAGCCAGGCUGCAUGCCCAGGCAACUGUCUCUAACACUUGGCUACACAAGCUGGGUGGGAUGCAGUUUGAUGCAGGCAGAGCAUGGCCUGGCCCAUGCCCAUGCCAUGCCGACUGGGAGGUCCCAAGGGGUCUCCAUGGAACACCAAAAGUGUGCCAGUAACUCCCACCUGUUACCAGUGCUUUCUGACAGACCCAUUCUGGGGCCUUCCCUGCCUCUGCUUUGGACCCUUGCAAAAGGGUAUGUGACUUUCACUCAGAAAGUGUUCUUUCCUAUUCCUCUACGUCAUCAGUUCUAAAACUGUAGCCUGCAUCAGAAUUCUGGAGGGCUUGUCAAAACACAAGAGUUUGAUUCAGCAGGUCUAGAGACCACUCUGUGACAACUGCUGUUCUACAAAUAGCCAGCAUGGACUUUAUGAUCUAAGCUGGCAGGGUGGACCCAGAGGUUGAGGCUCUGCAAAUGUGGGAGAAGGGUCAGUAUCAAGUUUUAGACCUGCAGUGUCCCCACCUGCCUACCCUCCUGUAAAGAGAGAGCAGGCAGUUCCACUGGAACUUGCAAGCAUUUCAGGGUUGCUGGUGGGUGAACAUGAAUCUGGAUUUGUUUCCAGGAAAAACCUCUGUUGACAAAUCCCUCCCUCUGUCCUAGGAAGCCACAGCCUAAGGAAGAAACCAUGCCAUGGGACUGUGGCUGCUCUGGACUGUGCAGGCUGCCAGGUAGGAAUGGUGGAGGUUCACAACCCAGGGACAGGAGACCUUGGGAAGGUCAGGACAGCUGGAAGUGUGAAAUGAAUGCAGCCCUGCAUAGCUGUCAAAGGAUCAAGCUGUCUGCGGCGGCCGACUGACCAUGCACACACACACUCGGCAGCACCCGGCUAGGCAUUACCUACUUCACCACCGAUGUAGAAGUCAGUGUUUGUCGGGUGAACGACAGCAUCACUGUCGAUCGAGGCAAUGUCAGCCUGUACAACUUGCAACUAUAACAGGUAAACAAAUGUAUAUCAACUGUGUUGGACCGAGACCCACGCACAGGCACAUUUACUAAUGCCCCAAUGGCAGGGCUGGCCUACCUGGUCGAUUCCAACAUAUGAGCCCAAGGGGCAAUCAGUCCACGCAGUGUGCGCACAUGUGGAUGGGGGUGAGGACAGGAGGAGGAGGAAUAUCAAAUGUGACAUGUUUAAAUUAAACAUUUGAAUGACAAGUCCAAAAAAAGAGAAACACACAUGAGAUCAUUUCCAAAGGUUAAAAGAAAUAAAACGAAUGCCCCGUUUCACUUCGCAAAAGCCUAUAGAACUGGCAUCCCACUGAGAAGGCUACUAAAACAUGGCAUCUGCUUAAAAAAAAAAAAAAGUGGACCAUCAGGCCAACCAAAACAACAAGUUUCUCCAUUCUGUCUGUAGCAGUCAACUUGCAGCCUAGAUUUUUUAUUCUUGUAACAUUUACCAUUUUGUCUACCUUCAAGGGAUUUCUCUUGAAAACCCAGAAAACAGUAUUGAUACACAUAGAGAAUUACCUUUAUUUCCCCCCCUCAACAUAUGAGGUGAUCUCUAUCAAUAUUUUUCCAGGCCCAUUUCUUCCUCUAGCCUAUCUUAUUUUUAUGGUUUUUUUUUUUUUCUUACAGACAGGGUCUUGCUGUUGCCUAGGCUGCAGGACAGUGAUACAAUCAUAGCUCACUGCAGCUUCAAACUCCUGGGCUCAGGCAAUUCUUCUGCCUCGGCCUCCCAAAUAGCUGAGACUACAAGCACAUGUCACCAAACCCAGCUAAGUUUUUUAUUUUUUGUAGAGAUGAGGUCUCACUAUCUUGCCUAUGUUGGGCUCCAACUCCUGGCCUCACUCAAUCCUUUUGCCUCAGCCUCCCAAAGUGCUGGAGUUACAGGUGUCAGCCACUGCACCUGGCCUUUGUAUUUUAGUAUAAAAUGCGCUUUGGAAAGAAUACUUGAUUUUUCUAGCUUGUGGACUUUUUUUUUUUUUUUAAGUAUCUGUAUAAGGUAGUUGUAAAACAAGUUCAAGUUGGACACUCUUGAGUCCAGUCCUCAUCUUUUCAGCCCACUGUUGCACUCAGUUUGUGUGGGUGAGGCCUGGGCUCAUGGAAUGAGUCUAUCUCCCAGUAAGGAAGUCUGCCAUCUGACAAAAGCAGCAGAAGCUGAGAGCUAAAGUCAUUCAAAAUAGAUUGCAACUGAGGAUUAGGAAGAAGGCUGCAUUUAUUUCCCUGGCAAGCCUCUACACUGAAGAGCAGCAGAGGAGCCUUUGCUGUGCCAUUGAGCUGACAGUGCCUCAUAUGCAAA